UCUGUUCUGGAGUAUUUAUGGUUUGGUUAUCUCCUGUCGCUAUGGGUUAAUGAUUAAUACCAGCCAGAUUAACAGGCUUCCUGGGUGAAAGGAGGUGGGACUCUGGGUCCAGAGGACUUUGUCUGAGAACUCCAGACUUUGUCUUUGGUGUGGAAACACCUGUGUAUUUUUCCUGUGGAAGUAAUGGAGGCAGCGGUAGCUCAGACAGAUUUGGAGGACCUGAGUUCUGCUGUUUCUCCCAGUGUAUGACCUUGGACAAAUCCUUUCACCUGCCUGUGCCUCCAUGUCCCACACAUAAGCUGAGGAUAGUCAUAUUUAUCUACUUCACUGGCACAUUUUGAGGCUUGCCUGGCAAUGUCGUGCUUUCAGACCCCACAACCAGGGUGCAGAGAAUGUUUUUGAUUGUGGGGUUUUUUAUCCUUUUAUAUCGUGUUAGAAAAUACUUUCUAGUACAUGGCAGGUUUCCUGUAGCUUCAUAUGCCUUUAAAACAGGCAAAAGGUAGAAAUCAAAGAAAAGUGUUAAUCAUCAAAAAUAUAAGGAGACUAUGAAGAGGGCAAUGUGAAUAAUUAGUGCUCAGAUGCUAAUUACCCAGCUCUAGACAAACCUAACGUAUCACACACGUUGCCAGUACGAAUGGCCUCUGGACCAGAUUGCUGUCUUCCCCAUAGCUAUCGUACUGUUAUCUCUGCAUGGGAGUCGUUCCAACAUCUGCUAGCACCGGCAUAUCCCAAAAUAUAUUUCUGCUAACCUGCACAUAAACCGGGGAGAUUGCAGCAGAGCGGGGAGAGAAAGGGGAAGGAUCUGGAACUUGGCCCCAGCAAGGGUUUAAGGAAGGGCAAAUUCUGCAAAGAGCCCGACUUGGGGCCGUCAGACCGAAAAAAUGCUUGUUUCUCUCUUAAGGCUUUGCUUGUGUUGCCCUGACCUGGGGGUAUAAGUGUGAGCUCCUUUGUUUCCACCCAGAGAAUUGGCCCUUUCUGCCUUCUUUGACUGAAGAACAAAUUCCCUGGGCUUUGCCUUUUUUUUACUAAUGGCAUGAUCCAGCCCUCACAGAAGUCAAUGGGAAAAUUGCCACUGAUAUACAUAAGCAGCAUAUAUUUGCCAUUGAUGUUGGUAAAGGUGGUGAAUGGACGGCCUGGGAGACAGGAAGGGGCUGGUUCGUUACCACUCGGUUCUUUGGGACAUUGCUUCCUCUGCGAACCGGGCAAGUGGAACAAGGGCCGAGGGAGUGGAGGGAGGAUGCUCGUGUAGCAGCGUUUUACUCCAGGGCUCUGUGCAUUAUGUACAGCACCUAGUUUCCUGGAGGCCUGAUCUGUGACCGCUGGUUGUGGGUGCUGCCACCAUACGACUACUUGAUCCAUGUUGCACCGGAUACCUCCAUUUGACGCUGCGUCUCUGGAUGUAACGCUCCUUUCAAAGGCCGUAGCCACUCGGUUCCCAAAUCCCAGGGAAUGCUCUAAGCCUCAAGGGGUGGAAGCCUAUUGAUUCUGGGGAAAAUGGGAGGACACAGUGAGCCCUGCCCUCUGGCUAGCAGAGCCCCCUCAUCAGUAGAUCAAAGAUGCUUAAAUCAAGAGGGGAAAGUCAGAUGCUUCCUUGAGCUUUGCCUGCUGUGUUUUUACGCUAAGAGAUCCCAGCUCUGUCUACCUGCCUGGGGCUGCUCAGAGUUGCUUCCUUGAUGAGGAAGGUUGGCCUUGGUCAAGGCUCUGCGUUGGCCUCUUGAGAUUUGGGUUCAAUUUUCAACUCAGCUACAGAAUUGUGUGGCCUUAGGUUUCCUGCAUGCCAGCUCCCCAGCUGUACAAAGGGCUUGCUAAAACCCACGUGCUGGUGUCUUAUCUGCAUUGACAGGAAAUGCUUUGGGACAGUCCCUUGCAGUGUGUAUGUGCAGCACCCAGCAUGAUGAGACCCUGAACUCUGCUGGGUUCUCCUGGUCCUACCGUGAUGUAGGUGAUGUAAGGGCAGCUUUAUUCUCAGAGGAGGAACAAUAUUUGCAUCCUUUGACAGGGGUUGGGAGCAGUUCAGGACACUAGGCAUCCCAGGGGCCAGACCCAGAGCAGCUGGGCUCUGAGCAUUGACUGGGUUUAUUUCCAGCCAAUACAGAAGUGUGACAGGGUGAAGAAAAAAAAAAAAGAUGUGGAGCCCCACAGCUUGAAAAGCACCUGUCUUGGGGGGUGCAGCCCUGGAAAGGGCUACACCUGCCUCUUAAAGGGGCCAGCCUGUAUGCCAGGGCUCUCCCCCCCUUUGUUAUAGAAGGAGCUCCCUCUCUGCUCCCCGGCAGAGCAAGGUGACUCAUACCAGAAACCAAAUGGAGACAUUAAAGAGGUUCAAAAGAGACUUGUGCAUUUGAUGUGACCAGUAGAGAGCAUCUGAAUGGAGAGGGGGAUGCCUGCUGCUGCUUCACAAUUGCAAGCUCUGUUCUAGGGGCUGUUUGCUUCUUGCUGUUUCCCAAGGACAGACAGCAGCAGCUCCAGGGAAAGAGGUGUUUAUACACAAGCCAUCCCUUCUCUGCUGCUCUUAGGCCAGGGCUGUUGGUUUGCUCUGGCGUGGAGCAGCUGUUGCUCCUUUUGCAGCAAAGAAAACUGCCUCCUCUUCAGCUCCUCUUGCUUUCCCCCAGAAUUCCCUCUAAUGAGCUUUCCAGUUCUGCUCCAAGCCUAAACUGGUAGGACCCCUCCUCCUGCCAAGGUCCAUGUGCUCUUCCUCAAGAGCAGAAUGCCACAUCAGCAGGUCUCACGGCAGCUUAAGCCUGUAGGAAAGGCCCUGGGGAAAUGCAUGUGAUCCUCCUGAGAAGUUAGAUUUCCCUCCCUCCUCUGCCAUGUGGGCAGGCUGGUGUUGCUUGCAUACACCUCCAGUGCCCUUUGCUGAUGGCCCCAGCUCUCGAGUGGUCAAAGGAGGGCUAGAACCUAAAAGAGGGAAGCUAAGAAAAAGAAAAAGGAGCCCCAUAGUGAAGGGAAGAAGAUUUUGUCUGCAAAUAGCACUGCCCGUAGUCUCUGCUCCAUCGGGCAAUGGUCGGGCAGCUUACAGUCAUGGAAACAGGAGAGAAACCACCAGGGCGUUGCAGGACAAAGGUGCUUAUGAAUAUGCAGAUGAGGCUCCAGUUUCCAGGCUCUGCUUUCAGGAGAGAGGCUGUGUGAUGGGGUUGCUGCGGCUGCCUUAAGAAGAGAAAUGUCAUGUAGCGGGGUAUGAAAUAAAUAAAUAAAUUAACUGCUGAAGAAGUCAGGAUCUCUGCUGCUCCACCUGGGCCGAGGGAGCUCCUCAUCUCCCCGGGGAUCUGGGGCUCCUUUGUGCUAUGCGCACGUUCUUCUUCCCCCCCCCCACCAAAGUUGAUUAUGUUUAGGGGAGAGAAACCUUUAUCUGUUGCAAUCACCCGUGAUCUCUGGCAAGCCAAAGAAACUUUCAGCCCCCUUCUUCCUCCCCACCUUUCCACCCCCCUGCUGAAAAGUGGAAAGGUUUCAUUUGCCUGUAGGAGAGAGGGUGCUUUUGGCAAUGGGGUGGGUAGGGCUGGAGCCCAGGGACACGGCAUUCACCCGUCUCCAUCAGCUGCUCCUUCUCCUUGGAGCUCCAGCCCAGAAAGCCAGAGGAACCGGUUGUGCAGGCCAUCUGUUUGUACUGAGGGCCCUGAUGAGGGGAGCUGGUGUGGUGCUUAGAGCGAGGUCCCGAUGCAGGCUCUGGGGCUGACGGCCCCUGUCCCAGUGCAGCAGCAGCACCAGAAGUGCAGAGGAGAGUGAAGAUGGGGGCCUGGGGAGUGCUGGUACCUGGCGUGGUUGCAGGGAGGGGUGCAAAAGGCAGAAUGAGGCCCAUAUGGGUGAGCCAGGGGGUCAUGGGGCCUUGUGUCCUGUCACCGUGAGGUUUGGUGUGUGUCAGGGGAACAUGCAUGGUCUUGAGCUUGGAGAACAGGGAGUGAGAUCAGGGUUUGGCUCCUGCCUCUGUUGCUGCUGCCCAGUUGUGUGACCAUUGUGGACUAGAGGAACUAAACAUUUCCUACUGCAAGCAGCAGGGCUGCUGUGUUUCUAAAGGAUGUGGAGCCCCUCGGAUGGGAGGCUCUGAAGAAGGAUGCAGUUCCUCCCCAAAUGGAACAACACUGUUGCUUCCUCCGUGCACCUGGAGACUGGAGUGGACAGAGUUUGGUGUGGAAGAACCCCCACCCUGAGUAGCUUGUAACUUCCCUAAAGCCCAACGGCAUCCACCGAGGCCGAGGAGCCGCAGCUCUAGGCUUCCACUGAAGUGGAAAACAUUUGUCUGCAAAGGAAAGAUGAGGUGCUGAUGCUGAGAGCAUUCACGGUGAGGCUCAGAGAUGCCCGAGUAGAACCUGCUGCUUCUGUAGAGGAGAGCAGCUGGGAGGAUGGGUGCCCUACCUACCCAGAGCCAUGGGCAUCUGGAAGAGCAAAGGGGCUGGAGCUCUGGGUGCAACAGCAGCUGAGACGGGUCACAAAACCACCCAGUGGGGUGCUGCCCAGCACAUCUUUCAUUCUUGCUCAGUGACCGUUUCUAUUCGCAGCUGGGCAAGACUUGGUGGCAACAGCCAUGAGGGCAGUGACAUUCUGGACUAGUCUUAUUCAAAGACUGCCAGCAGCCCCACUAGUGGGUUGGAAGGAUUUCCCUGACUGACAGAGUCAUCGCCUCUCUGGGGGCUUCUAAGCUGCUCCUUGCAGUGAUGGCUGAGCCCAGAGGCUCAUAACAAAGUGUUCAAAAGCUCAAGGUCUCAGCUGCCCAGCAUCUCAGCUUGGGUGCGGUGCUGUGCAGUCCACUGCCAGCAUGGACAGGUCCAGCCCAUGGCCCUGAGUGCCUGUUUGCUGACUGGCAUCAGCUUCUUCUUUGGUAAUAAAAAAAAUAAUGGGCAGGUGGAGGGAUCCUCUGGGAGCCCACCUCA